AUUGAACGCUGGCGGCAUGCCUAACACAUGCAAGUCGAGCGGAUGAACGGAGCGUGUGCCUGGAUUCAGCGGCGGACGGGCGAGUAAUGCCCAGGAAUCUGCCUGGCAUUGGGGGAUAACGUCCGGAAACGGGCGCUAAUACCGCAUACGUCCAGAGGGAGAAAGUGGGGGAUCUUCAGACCUCACGCUAUCAGAUGAGCCUAGGACGGAUUAGCUAGUUGGUGGGGUAAAGGCGUACCAAGGCGACGAUCCGUAACUGGUCUGAGAGGAUGAUCAGUCACACUGGAACUGAGACACGGUCCAGACUCCUACGGGAGGCAGCAGUGGGGAAUAUUGCACAAUGGGCGAAAGCCUGAUCCAGCCACGCCGCGUGUGUGAAGAAGGUCUUCGGAUCGUAAAGCACUUUAAGUUGGGAGGAAGAGAAGUAUAAUAAUCUCUUGAUGUUUUGACGUUACCAACAGAAUAAGCCCCGGCUAACUUCGUG
rnacentral:rRNA from 1 species